GAGAGAACAAUGUGGCGCUGCGUCUGCCCUCAUGGAGCCUCAUCUGUUGCACCUUGGAUUACAUGGAAGUCCAGGCUGGACAGGCUUCAGACACCAUAUUUGCUUCCAUCUCAGCUGGCUCCUCAUCACGAUCAUAAGAUCAAUGCCUCUGUUCCAAGAAUCACAUGAAAAAACUCCAUUGUAAGAAGAAGGACCAUUGUUCUUUCAGUUGCAGCCAGAAUUGUGGAAACUUCAAGGCGAGUUUUGAAAACCACCUGCUUGAGCACUCCAAGUUGAGUUCUGGAAGCCGGGCAGUCCAGGAUCAAGGCACCAACAGAUCUGGUCUCUGGUGACGUCCUGCUUCCUCGUUCAUAGAUGGUCACCUUCUCCUGUGUCCUUGCAUGACAGAAAGAGUUUUGAUACCAAAGAGACUCCUUAAUAAACGUUCUGCUGGCUAAAUUUCUACCUCCUAGGAAACCCAACCCAUGAUGACGAUUGAAUAACACCUUUAAGUACUGAAAUAAGUAAAGCUGUCAACCCAGCUUCUAUAUGCUACCAGAUUAUCUUUCAAAAAUGAAGAAAAAUAAAGAUGUUUUCAGAUGGACUAAAGCUAAGAAUCGGUGUGUUGUGCUGUAAGAAAUACUUAAGGGAAUUCUUUAAGUGAGAGAUGAAUGACACCAGAUGAUAACUUGGAUUCAAUGGAAGGAAUAAAGAGCACAGGAAAUGGUCCUGGAAGGAGCCUUGAGUGAGUAUAAGCCUAGCCAUUUUGAGAAAGUCAUUUCAUUAUCAAAAGCAGGUUGGGCCAUUGAUGAAAAAUAAAAAUAAAGA